AGAGUUUGAUCCUGGCUCAGGAUUAACGCUAGCGGCAGGCCUAAUACAUGCAAGUCGAACGGUAACAGCGGAGCUUGCUCCGGCUGACGAGUGGCGCACGGGUGCGUAACGCGUAUGCAACCUACCUUUAACUGGGGAAUAGCUCAGAGAAAUCUGAAUUAAUACCGCAUAAUAUUAUUGAUUGGCAUCUUUCGAUAAUCAAAACUCCGGUGGUUAAAGAUGGGCAUGCGUGACAUUAGCUUGAUGGUGAGGUAACGGCUCACCAUGGCUACGAUGUCUAGGGGGUCUGAGAGGAUGAUCCCCCACACUGGUACUGAGACACGGACCAGACUCCUACGGGAGGCAGCAGUAAGGAAUAUUGGGCAAUGGACGAAAGUCUGACCCAGCCAUGCCGCGUGCAGGAUGAAGGCCCUCUGGGUCGUAAACUGCUUUUAUAUAGGAAGAAACCCUCGUACGUGUACGAGGCUGACGGUACUAUAAGAAUAAGGAUCGGCUAACUCCGUGCCAGCAGCCGCGGUAAUACGGAGGAUCCAAGCGUUAUCCGGAUUUAUUGGGUUUAAAGGGUGCGUAGGCGGAUUAAUAAGUCAGUGGUGAAAGCCUGCAGCUUAACUGUAGAACUGCCAUUGAUACUGUUAAUCUUGAAUUCAGUUGAGGUAGGCGGAAUGUGUCAUGUAGCGGUGAAAUGCUUAGAUAUGACACAGAACACCAAUUGCGAAGGCAGCUUGCUAAACUGAUAUUGACGCUGAGGCACGAAAGCGUGGGGAGCGAACAGGAUUAGAUACCCUGGUAGUCCACGCCCUAAACGAUGAUUACUCGAUGUGUGCAAUACACCGUACGCGUCUAAGCGAAAGCGUUAAGUAAUCCACCUGGGAAGUACGUUCGCAAGAAUGAAACUCAAAGGAAUUGACGGGGGCCCGCACAAGCGGAGGAGCAUGUGGUUUAAUUCGAUGAUACGCGAGGAACCUUACCUGGGCUUGAAAGUUAGUGAAUAACUUAGAAACAAGUUAGUCAGCAAUGACACGAAACUAGGUGCUGCAUGGUUGUCGUCAGCUCGUGCCGUGAGGUGUUGGGUUAAGUCCCGUAACGAGCGCAACCCUUAUCAUUAGUUACCAGCGAGUAAUGUCGGGGACUCUAAUGAGACUGCCUACGCAAGUAGUGAGGAAGGUGGGGAUGACGUCAAAUCAUCACGGCCCUUACGUCCAGGGCUACACACGUGCUACAAUGGACGGUACAGUAGGUCGCUACAUGGCAACAUGAUGCUAAUCCGAAAAGCCGUUCUCAGUUCGGAUUGAAGUCUGCAACUCGACUUCAUGAAGGCGGAUUCGCUAGUAAUCGCACAUCAGCAAUGGUGCGGUGAAUACGUUCCCGGGCCUUGUACACACCGCCCGUCAAGCCAUGGAAGCCGGGGGUACCUAAAGUCGGUAACCGCAAGGAGCUGCCUAGGGUAAAACUGGUAACUGGGGCUAAGUCGUAACAAGGUA
rnacentral:rRNA from 1 species